GAUGAACGCUGGCGGCGUGCCUAAUACAUGCAAGUCGAGCGAACGGACGAGAAGCUUGCUUCUCUGAUGUUAGCGGCGGACGGGUGAGUAACACGUGGAUAACCUACCUAUAAGACUGGGAUAACUUCGGGAAACCGGAGCUAAUACCGGAUAAUAUUUUGAACCGCAUGGUUCAAAAGUGAAAGACGGUCUUGCUGUCACUUAUAGAUGGAUCCGCGCUGCAUUAGCUAGUUGGUAAGGUAACGGCUUACCAAGGCAACGAUGCAUAGCCGACCUGAGAGAGUGAUCGGCCACACUGGAACUGAGACACGGUCCAGACUCCUACGGGAGGCAGCAGUAGGGAAUCUGCCGCAAAGGGCGAAAGCCUGACGGAGCAACGCCGCGUGAGUGAUGAAGGUCUUCGGAUCGUAAAACUCUGUUAUUAGGGAAGAACAUAUGUGUAAGUAACUGUGCACAUCUUGACGGUACCUAAUCAGAAAGCCACGGCUAACUACGUG
rnacentral:rRNA from 1 species